rnacentral:lncRNA from 1 species
UUGGUCAAUUUUGUGAUUCAACGGCAGUUCACAAGCGUCCCAGAACAUUGAAAUAAUGUUGGUUUAAUGGUAUAAUCCCAACUCCAUGAAGUCAUCAGCACAUUUGUUUAUACUUUUUGUAUAUUGCAUUAAAUGGCUAACCCACACUAAUCCGCCUUACCUACCAUGACCGUUGACAAAAGGCCAACUGUAGGCCCAGCCCACUUUGUAUUUUCCCAUAAGUGGACCUUUUACCGCCUCUGCGAAUCAUGAUUGAAUGUUAACAAGGAUACAUACUGUUACUUGUUCUGUUAGCCGGUAAUUCUUUACAGAGUGAUUUAAAUUAGAAAGUGUUCAGUAAAAGUCAGCGUACAGGUUUACAAAUUGAAUUGAUAAUCCAUGGCACACUUGUAUUAUUACAAUCCAUACCCAGUUUGGAAAUAUGGCAUAGUCAUCCAUGAUGUAAGAGCAGGAGGAUAGUACUGACCUUAGAAGCUAGUCUAUUGAGUUGAGUUUCGUGGUUCUGCAACCUGCAUAGUUUCAUGUAAUACAUGAGAGUAUAGCAGUUGAAUUAAAUUUGCAACUUUGAAACAAAAUGUUCAGUUGAAUGAAAAACUUAAUAGAAUAUUAUUUCUUACCUUUUUUCUUUUUAAAGAUAGAACGCAGAAAACUGCAUUCAGCAAGUUAAUUUCUCAGACUGACAGCAACCUGUUCUUGUAGAGUGUCGUAAAGAAUUUGAACAACAUUGAGCAGGAAACCAUCUGAACCAUUUUUUGCCAACAACGAAAUAGACAAUGGUAGAUCAUCAUGCAUACCCAGUGGAAUGCUCACCUGCAGUUUUGAUAUGAUGUUCAUACAACAUAUUUAGUAUUGCAAAACGUUCAUAAACCCAAGGAAAACGGAAUUUCAUCACAAUAAAGAGCAAGAUAGGUCACCUGACAGAAUCCUGAUACUCCAGCAAUAGAGAGCAAGCUAAAAGCCUCUGCACGAAAGACUGCCAGCGUAGUUGGAUCUGUAUUUAGUUUUGGUGGGGGCCCUGGAACUGUAGGGAUAGCAAGGAUACCAAAAUCCUGUGCUUCAAUUAUUAGAGAGCCAGUUUAGGUAAUAAAAAAAAAAAAAAAAAAAAUUGAGAGAGGACUUGCAUAUGUAAUUUACUUAGCAGAUUUAUAGCAAAAUGGAACACUUAUCCUAUAAGCCACUGAUACUACACAACUGAGCCUUGUUAACCACAUUCCAGAUUUGAGAUAAUUUAAACAAAGUCAUGUCAGCAUUUUAGAUAGAAUACAAUAAUGUUCACUUGAAGCAUAUCAAUCCUAAAAACUACUUUCUUCAUUAAAUACGUGGCAUGCUUAAUUUUACAAAUGUUAAUUUGCAAAAAAGCAAUAGGACGUCACCUGAAUAUAAGCUUAGAUCCUUCUUCUUGUUGUUUUUUCUUUUUAUUAUUAAUUAGGCUCUUACUGAUGUUUGAACUCGAUCUCACAACAUUGGAGACAACGCUUGUACCAUUGAGCCAAAGAACAUUGGUAAAAAGCUUUCUUUUGAAAAAGAUUUCUUUUGCUUCGGAAUAGUUCAAGAGAGUACCUCAAGAAGAGUUGUCAGGGCAGCAAGUAGUUCUGUCUUCACUGAGUAACAGGCAUCAAUAUUUCCUCCUGUCAUUUUAACAGCUUCCCAUACUCGUUCUGAUAUACCUGGACCCAAAUCUGGUUCGACAGUAGUAACCCAUUCACCAUGGUUAUUCUUGAAUUCAUACCUAUAAGUCAAGUAUCAGUAGUUACAUAUACAAAUUUAAGAUCUCUCAGCCAGUACAAACAUUAAGAAUAUGAUAAUUAGCAUUCAGGUCAAUGGAUCAAUCAAUUUAGAGAAAGAGUUGUAGAAUUUUUACACCUUUGAAGCAACCGCAUGGCACUUGAAAGGGCUGCCAAUGAUGCUAUAUCAUAACCUUGUUCUUUGAUUUCUUUGCUCAUAAAAUGCUUCAGGCUUGGAACUUUGUUCUCAACGAAGUCCCCAAGGGUUAAAUGCUUCACAACAUGACCUGCAUUAACAAAUGUAAGGAAUUAUCUCUUCCCCAAAGUGGAUGCUAAUGCAUUUGGAUGCCAAAAGCAAUGAAACAAGACAGAUUAACAUUUCCAUGGAGCCAAGUUGCGUGUUCUGUUGUAUGCUCCAAAGAAACUCACUUGGUCCAUUACAAAACAUAUAAAUGUUCCUUAAAAUGCCUAGUGAGUCUGCUGGAUUCCAAAAUAACUCAUAAAUAACAGAAAACUGACCCCCGAAUAACUUCUCCACUGAUUUAACAAGAAUUUGGCUAACUCGACCGUUUGGAAUGCUUGAGAGUUGAAAACAAUCUUCUGCAAUAAUUAUCUGACUUGGUCUGACUAGAUCUACAUCAGGCAAUUGAAGUAGAACGCGUCCAACAUGAUUCAAAAUCACUGGAUUCCUAGCAAACCAUCCUGGAGUGAAGCAUUGAUGUCAAAAGAAUGAACUGUCUAGUUCAAGCUGUCUGGAAAUUAUGAAACUGCCAUACAACUAUGUCCCCUUUGAUUGGUAGAGCAAAAACAGUGAACAGACAAACGGUAUCAAGUAACAAAAUUUAGUGUUGCAUGAAUUAUGUUAUCAAUCAAGAAAAAAAUAUCAGAUUGAAUAAUUUAUCUAAACAAGUCUUAUCCACUGCCACUCCAUAAUUCAGAAGUUUCAAAUGCUGUUUUGAAAAGAUAUAAUAAUUAUUGUGAAAGUUCUGAAUUUGGAAAAAAUCACACAAAAACCUGAACCCAAUUUGGUCAAAAAUGGCAAACUGAUUCAAAAGAAAUCCACGAAGUUUCUGGUUACUUACCCACAGUAUCGAAACUCUGUGCCAAGGGAAUAACUCCUGCAGUAGAAACAACACCAUGAGAAGGCCGAAACCCUAAAAUACUGCAGUAUGAUGCCGGAACUCUUACACUUCCUCCAGUGUCAGUUCCUGCAGCAAAGACAAUCUUUUAAUUUGAUUGAAUUAUAAUAACCUAAGCUGUAUGAAGAGUAGAAUCAUUUUAGAGUGGAUAUUCACCUAAGGAGAAGUCUACAAGCUUUGCACCUACUGCAACAGCAGAUCCACUGGAAGAUCCUCCAGGUACACAAUCUGGAGCACAAGGAUUUAUAGGCGUUCCAUAGUGUUUAUUUUCCCCAUUUAUGCUGCCCCCAAAAUAAAAAUUAUUCACUUGAAUAAGAAACAAGUCUCAAUUUGAAUUUUCAGGGGACUUCAAUCAAAUAAAAGAUGAACAAUAACUAAAGUGCAUAAUGUACUCGAGCCAGAAGCUUGGCACAACAAAUAUAUUUCAUCAUAUUUGUUUAAUCAUAGCUAAGACAAUCACCCACAAAUGAGAGAACUGUCUCACAUUCUCACCUAUAUGCCAUUUCAUCCAUAACGGUUUUACCGAUACAUGUGGCCCCUUCUCUCAAGAUAGCCAAAACGGCUGGAGCAGUUGAUGUAGCAGCUAAAUGUGUUCUUGCCCAAUCCGGAUUGCCAAAUCCAGUUACAUAUCCAUCAACGUCGAAUCUAAUUACAAAACCAGAAAGACAAAUUAAACACUCAAAACGCACGAGAAGAUAUUGAUUCAAAAAUAAAAAAAGAAGAAGGGAAGAAAAUUUUUUGAGUUAAUUCCAAGAAUUAAACUCCGUCUCCAUUUUGAAAACAUAAGUAGCUAAACAGUACAGAUGAAACCCAGCAGCCAGAAUUGGCUUAUAAGCUCAAGAAAAGCACGAAAACAAGUAUUAUGGAUGAAAAUAUUCAUGAACCCACCAUAAAAUUAAAGGAAAUGAAAGGAAACCAAAAAGGAAGUGAAUUGAAGGACUGACAUAUCUUUAACGGCAAAGGUAAGCCCAUUUAAGGGGAGUUCAUCGGAUGAGUUAGUUGGCUUUAGCACAAAUUUUUCCAUGAAAGCUCCAUAAUCAGGGUUUCUUGCCAUGUUUGUUAUCCGUAAGUAGUCUGCCUCAACGUUUAUUAACAGAAAAAGGAUAUUGGACACACAAAUCAGAUAACUGUCAUCAGACUCAUCACAUGAUGACCUAUUUAACCUUUCGAUAUUGGACACACAAAUCAGAUAACUGUCAAGGGCAACGACGGCAUUUAAAUAAUAUUUUCAUUCUAUUUGGCGUUUCUUUAUAUUAAAUGACCAAUAUAGCCUUAAUUUUAAGUUUGCUGCUGAACAGUUCAUGGCUUCAUGCAGAUGUAUGGCAUUAAGGUAAAAACAUGAUCCUGCUAUUAGAGGCUAUUCAAAAAAGCGCUAUGCUGAAAAAACAGUUUCAAUCUCAAUUACAAGCUAAUCUGCAUUACAUGCUCUAAUCUAUAUAUAUGUAUAUGUAUCGGCAGCACAUACACUUGAAAUUUGAGAUACAGAGUAAUGGAAGUUGUGUGGUUCUACAUUGGAAAUAAAGGUUUCAAUCAACUUCAUCACAGUUGUCAACCAAGGCAUAGAACUCGGGCUUGCUGGUGCGUCCAUUCAUAGGGUUCUCCUCCUGCAGCCUCAGUCAGUUUCAUCAGAGUCAUCAUCAAAGCUAUACAAGUAUGGGACUGCUGGUAUGGCUACACUAGGUUCUACAUCUGCAGACUCACCAGUCGCUCCAGGAGUGUUCCAACCCAGCUGCUGUAUGUAAACAUCAUCGUAAGCUUCAAUAUUGAAACCUGAAGCAAGAAACAAUUCCAACUCAUUCACAAAUCUGUCUGUUCUUGCAGCUAGGAAAGGCCUUGCUGCAUCACAAACUAGAGUCUUGAACUCUUCUUGUUUGGUUUCAGAUGUCAUCAUUUCAUGAAGUUGAUUGGUCCUAGCAAACAUUAAAGCAAGUUAUGAGCAAGAAACUUCUUAAAAUGAUUAGAUUCAUCUGUCAAACCAUCUACGAUCUUAAUUGAAAGAUUUUGAACAAGAUGGGAAUCCAACUCCUGGAAUCAAAUUGUUGAUUUCAUAAUUAAUUUGCAAGAAUUACCUUUUCAGGAAUGAAUCAACCACACCAAGAAUAUGAUGUACAAUAAUGUCAACAUUCUCUUCCUGCAAGUAAUGUAACAGAAGAAGAAAGUCAGUUAUUGAUAAACAAAGCAUCCAUAAUUAAGUUGAUUAAUAUUAAAAUUUCAGAAAAAGUGAGGGGCUUCUACAAAUGGGAUUACUAUGAUAUACAAGAACAUUCCUGUAUUUCCUUUAGUCAUCAAGAAAUAUGUAACUCAAAACUGUGAAUGUGUAUUCACAGAAAGAAUUGGAGGAAACAAUGCUUUUAAAAUAACAACAGUAAAUAGAAAAUUGAUCCAAAUUUAGUUGAUGGUAAAGUAGGAAAAAACAUCAGUUGAUGUUACUUGCAAAUCAAUAUGAUCAAGAAUUCUUUGGUCUGAAUGGGCAUCCAAUACAAUCUCCCAACUGUUUCUUAUGCAGUUAUGCAGCCAUCCGCUAGAGACAGCAUUGAGCCAUAGAACUGAGAAUUAUUAGUUUUGGUAAAAGCUUUAACUUAUCAGCAACACAACUUCAUCCACGGUGUUAGUUCAAGUGCUUAGAGCAUAUUAAGUGUAUAAUACAAUACACAAAAGAAUUUCAGUGAUAUGUUCAAGAUGGAAUAAGUAAAAGGGCAGAGAAUUUUCUUUUUUUUUGAAAAAAAGAAAGAAAACAACAAAUGAACAGUUGGACCUGCAAAAGAGCUUGAAUUUCUCUUUUCAACCAACUUUGAAGCCACUGAUUAGGCUAAAGAUACUUUCGGGACUUCCAAUAUCGCGAUACAUUAACUAUGUUGCUCAAGGCACCUGAUGGAACAUUAGAUACCAAAAAGCACAUUAAACAACAAUUCUUAAUACGUGUGAGAUUACCAGACCUGAACUUGAUCAUGUUGCCUGUGGAAGACUCCAAUAAAUUAAAACUUGAGUUUGGCAGUGAAUUUGGCUCACUGUUUUUGUAUUUUAGCAGAAGGCAUAAUAUAUUUUGUUCAAGCAAUUCUUAACAGCAAGACAUAGUAGUGUGAAAGAUAUCUCUAAAAAGCUCAACAAUAUCACAUACCAUAUGUGCUAACUGUGUUGUCUAUUCCAGAAGGCUUUCCGUGAAUUAAUUUUUCACCUUCAAAAGCCCAUUUGUUUAACAAUUCAAGUUCAGACUCUCCAAAUAUUAACCACCCUUGGUGCAUUUUGUCCACGUUUACAGAGUCAGACAAAGCAAGAAAAGCAGCCGAGAGGGCAACACAAAACGCUGCAGAUGAGCCUAGGCCUGAACCCAGUGGAAGGUCAGAAGUGACAACUACAGUGGCAGGUCUAAAUCUGACAUAAAAAGGAACUGAAUUAGGAAAUUCAAGUGGGAAGAGCGAAAUAAUCACGAUAAAUCACAAUACCAAAUGCUUACCCUUGAAUAGAAGUGUAUAACCAUAAAAAGGCUGCAAUUCCGGAAGCAAGUGCAAUUUUUGCCUCUGGGAUAUUUUGUUCUUCAACCAAAGCUGAAAUUGACUUGACUGAUUCUAUUGAGCAAGAGGUGGGUGUCGAAGCGGAAGGAGCACCUAAGUUAGGUAAUGCUUCUUUGAUUUUGCCAAUUGGCCAUGAAAAUUCUAGUGCCAUAUCCUUGAGCUGGAGUUUCAGUGUUCCAUCAUUCUCUUAUGGAAAAGAAUGAUCCAUCGAGAGGUCACACAAUUAUAUUUGAAAUCAUCAGUUUAUUGACUUAAACAAAAGGCAGGGGCAGGGGGAAUAGGACUUCAAUUAAAUUGAUCAAAACCUGUAGUUUCAGUAAUUUGUCAAUAAAAUUGGGUAGUUUAUGGUGUUAGAUCACUAUUAGAGGCAUCCUAUGUUACCAACUUUUACCAAUUAAUGAGUAUAAAUGGUUUCUUUAGAUAAUAUAUUUAAGUAAACCUGACCCUCACAUAAUAUGAAAAUCUUCCUUUUUGCAAAUUCAUCUUCCACUGACAACUGAACUGAACCAAUUCAAGUACAAGAAAUGUUGCAAACAAGAGAAGAGAACAAGAAUUAUGUAUGAGAAAACCUCAAAAACUAUUCUUUUGAUCAAACUAACUCAAAUUGAAAAUUCUAUGACUGCAAAUUUAGCACCAAAAACUGGAACCCAAAUAACUUUCACACAUAUCCAUAUUUAGCUAAUCAACCAAAAUGUGAACAACAUUCAAACAAGAAAAUUAAAAAUGAAGCGAUUAAAGAACGCAUAUACAUAAAUUUUACCAGAAGUGGGAAAAGAGAGGGUGACAUAGGUGUAGAGAUUAAUGGAUGAAGCGACUGCAGUCGAUCCGUGCACCACAGCGUGUUCACCGGAAAGAAUGAUUUUUCCUGGAGCUCUUGCUUUAACUUCCAUCUGGUUUUUUCCGUUUCUCGAAUUCCGUUACCAGAAAAAAAUAAAGGUGGAAUCUUUUAGUAGUUUGUGAGAUUUACGGAUCCAUUAAUUGACAAAAGAGGAAGGAGAGGGUGACAUGGGACGAACUGGAACUCAAUUUUGGCGGAGAAAACCAAAGAUACAUUCUCUUUUAACUCGUGCACGUUGUGUGUCACUCUCUGAGGGAGUAACUGGAGACAUCCACGCGCACGCACGCUCUUGUUGGUGGCGCAUAGGUGUGAGUUGUUGAAUUGGACCUGUUAGUCAUUUAUUUAAAAAAAUAUAUCUUUUAUCAUUAAAUACUCUAUAUAUUUAACAGUUUAAUAUUUUACAUUUAAUAUAGUAUGAUUCACUAUUGAAUUAUUAUACAUAGUUUUUUAAUAGAAAUUAAAUAAUUUAACUGAAUUAAAUUUUAAAAAAUUAAAUAAAUUUUUUUACAAAAAAAUUAAAUAGUUUAACACAAUUAAAUCUUAUAUCAAAUCAGUUAUUUUGAAUAUAUAUAAAAGAGUAAUCUCGAUUAAAAUUUGAGGGUAAAUAAUAAUUAGCUUUUUUUGGUUUUUCUAAUUUUUACAUGAUAACCUUUAUUUUUUUUUUCUUUUUAAUAAAUUCUUUCAACAUCAGCUAAUUCAAAAAAUAGAUCCGAAAUUUCUUUAGUAAAUUCUUCAAAUAUUUUCUUUAAAAUAUAUAUUAUAUUUUUUUUCAAUAUUAAAAAGGGAAAUCGAUCUUGAGUCUAUAUUCAGGCAAUAUAAGUAAUUUUUAUUUUUAAGAAGUAGGUAAUAUAAGUAAUUAAUGACUAGUUUGUGUUGACGUUUUCAAAUUGAAAACGUGAAUUUUUUGUCCAUUGCAAAGUAAUACUCAAACAAAAAUUAGUGAGCGACGCUGAUAAUAUUAUAAGUUCCUAUUUUCAUCAUGAAAUUUUUAUUUUUAUUUUUUCAAAAUAUUUUUUCCUAAUAUUUUUUUUUUCUUUUUUGUAAGAAUAUAAAGAGAACCUUGGUCAAUUUUGUUAUUCAACGGCAGUUCAGAAGCGUCCCAGGACAUUGAAAUUAAUGUUGCCAUGAAGUCAUCAGCACAUUUGUUUAUUCUUUUUGUAAAUUGAAUUAAAUGGCUAACCCACACUAAUCCACCUUACCUACCAUGACCGUUGACAAAAGGCCAACUGUGGGCCCAGCCCACUUUGUGUUUUCCCAAAAGUGGACCUUUUACCGCCUCUAUGAAUCAUGAUGGAAUGUUAAUAAGGAUGCAUUCGGUAAUAUUAGCUGGUUUACUAACCGUUACUUAUUCUGUUAGCCGGUAAUUGUUUACGGAAUGAUUUAAAUUAGAAGUGUUCAGUGAAAGCAGCUUACAAAUUGAAUUGAUAAUCCAUGGCACACUUGUAUUAUUACAAUACAUACCCAGUUUGCAAAUAUGGCAUAGUCAUACAUGAUGUAAGAGCAGGAGGAUAGUACUGACCUUAGAAGCUAGUCUAUUGAGUUGAGUUUCGUGGUUCUGCAACCU